CCUCAGGCUGUGGCUGGUGGCCAGCAGACCCUGUGCCAGGACAGUGGCCACAGAUUUCAUCCAUUGGUAUCUCACAGGAGACUUCUGAGGAGAAAGGAGUUUUCCUGCCUCUACGCUGAGGACAAAUCCAAGCAGCUGGAGCUCCCUGCAGAGGGAGCAGGCUCUCCAUCCCAUCACAGCCAGGGAUGUACAUUGUUAUAUGUGGGAAAAGUGCAUGUUCAGAGAUGGCCCUGAAUGGCUCCAUUAUGGAUCUCAUCAGCUGUGGUACGCUUUCUGAAAUAAAAUCUAUGCAUUUGGAUGAAACAGAAAAAA